AACUAUAACGGUCCUAAGGUAGCGAAAUUCCUUGUCGGGUAAGUUCCGACCCGCAUGAAAGGCGUAAUGAUUUGGGCACUGUCUCAACGAGGGGCCCGGUGAAAUUGAAAUACCUGUGAAGAUGCAGGUUACCCGCGACUGGACAGAAAGACCCCAUGGAGCUUCACUGCAGCUUGAGAUUGAAUCCCGGUGACAGAUGCACAGGAUAGGUGGGAGGCGCCGAAGCAUUGCCCUAGGGCGGUGCGGAGCCGAUGUUGGGAUACCACCCUUCUGUUGCUGAGAUUCUAACGCGAGGAGUAACGACCCUGCGGACCCUCUCAGGCAGGCGGUUUGACUGGGGCGGUCGCCUCCGAAAGAGUAACGGAGGCGCCCAAAGGUUCCCUCAGGCCGGACAGAAACCGGCCGAAGAGUGCAAAGGCAGAAGGGAGCUUGACUGCGAGACCCACAAGUCGAGCAGAGACGAAAGUCGGGCUUAGUGAUCCGGUGGUACUGAGUGGAAAGGCCAUCGCUCAACGGAUAAAAGCUACCCUGGGGAUAACAGGCUAAUCUCUCCCAAGAGUUCAUAUCGACGGGGAGGUUUGGCACCUCGAUGUCGGCUCAUCACAUCCUGGGGCUGAAGUAGGUCCCAAGGGUUGGGCUGUUCGCCCAUUAAAGUGGUACGCGAGCUGGGUUCAAAACGUCGUGAGACAGUUUGGUUCAUAUCCAUCGCGGGCGCAAGAAGUUUGAGAGGAGCUGCUCCUAGUACGAGAGGACCGGAGUGGACGGAUCAACGGUGUCCCAGUUGUCACGCCAGUGGCACGGCUGGAAAGCCGCAUCCGGGAAGGAUAAACGCUGAAAGCAUCUAAGCGCGAAGCCAACCUCAAGAUGAGACUUCUCAUCAGCAAUGAGUAAGACCCCUUACAGACGAUGAGGUAGAUAGGUUAUGAGUGGAAGAGCCGCAAGGCUUGGAGCGACAUAAAACUAAUAGGUCGAGGUCUUAACUUA
rnacentral:rRNA from 1 species